UACGAAGGGGGCUAGCGUUGUUCGGAAUUACUGGGCGUAAAGCGCACGUAGGCGGACAUUUAAGUCAGGGGUGAAAUCCCAGAGCUCAACUCUGGAACUGCCUUUGAUACUGGGUGUCUUGAGUAUGGAAGAGGUGAGUGGAAUUCCGAGUGUAGAGGUGAAAUUCGUAGAUAUUCGGAGGAACACCAAUAGCGAAGGCAGCUCGCUGGGACGGUACUGACGCUAAGGCGCGAAAGCGUGGGGAGCGAACAGG
rnacentral:rRNA from 1 species